UACGAAGGGGACUAGCGUUGUUCGGAAUCACUGGGCGUAAAGCGCACGUAGGCGGAUUUGUAAGUCAGGGGUGAAAUCCCGGGGCUCAACCUCGGAACUGCCUUUGAUACUGCGAAUCUUGAGUCCGAUAGAGGUGGGUGGAAUUCCUAGUGUAGAGGUGAAAUUCGUAGAUAUUAGGAAGAACACCGGUGGCGAAGGCGGCCCACUGGAUCGGUACUGGACGCUGAGGUGCGAAAGCGUGGGGAGCAAACAGG
rnacentral:rRNA from 1 species